rnacentral:rRNA from 1 species
CACGUAGGGUGCGAGCGUUGUCCGGAAUUAUUGGGCGUAAAGAGCGUGUAGGCGGUUCGGUAAGUCUGCCGUGAAAACCUGGGGCUCAACCCUGGGCGUGCGGUGGAUACUGCCGGGCUAGAGGGUGGUAGAGGCGAGUGGAAUUCCCGGUGUAGCGGUGAAAUGUGCAGAUAUCAGGAGGAACACCAAUGGCGAAGGCAGCUCGCUGGGACGGUACUGACGCUGAGACGCGAAAGCGUGGGGAGCAAACAGG